CCCAAGGAAUCUAUCCGAACAUCUUUGGUUUUUUGGGGAUGCUGAGCAGGGUCUCACUAAUUUCCAAGUAAGAUGCUAAGAUUGCACAACUGGAUGGGGUUCGCUGUGCAUUCCUUCAGCUAAUGAAACUGAGCUGAAGGGAUUACCCAGGCAGUCUUUUUCUUGAUUUUAAAGAGAAAGUCUUUAACAUUUCUUCAUUUUCUAUGUUGUUGGCUGUUUGUUUUAAUGGGAUAAAGUUUUAAUGGGAUAAAAUAGAGACCGUCUAUUCAUGUUUUAUUGUUUUUAUAAUGAAUUGAUGUUGCAAUUUUUGAAAUGCUAUUUCUGCAUCUAUUCAGAUGACCAUGAUUGUCUAUGCUCCUGUUGGUCUAUUACAUUGAUUGAUUUGCAUAUGUUGAAUCAUUCCUGUAACCCUGAAAAAAUCAUUAUGAUACAUGGUCUUUUUGAUGACUUAUUUCAUUUCCUAUCAAUGAAAAGGGAUAUCUUUCCAUUUUCUAGGUCUCUUCUGGUUCCAGAUGAAUUUUAGGAGUCAUUUCUCUAGAUCUAUGAGUGAAUCUGUCUGGACCUGGGCUCUUCUUUGUAGGAGACUCCAUCAAUGCCAGAUUCAUCGCUGACUCAUCUGCUCGGACUUGCUGCCAAAGACUGACAGGGCUCAGGGCUCACAGCCCCUACUCCGGUAACAUUGUUGGAGCCCCGAGUCUCACUGGAGGUCUCAGGUAAGACACUAUCUGCACUUGUAGACACAGGGGUGACUUAUAGUGUUCUUCCUGAGUUUUCAGGACCUUGUAGUAAGUCCUCAAUUUCUGUUGUGGGCAUUGACAGCCAGCCUACCCAGCCUUUGCAAAUAGGCCUGUCCCAUGUAGGUUCCAGAUUCUUUUCUUUACCCAUAGCUUCCUAGUAAUCCCAAAAUGUCCCACACUCCUUUUAGGUAGAGACCUCCUUCAAAAGCUGAACUUCUCCUUUACUUUCUCCCUCCCCACAGCCCUAAUCCUCCAAACAGCCUCACAAUGCAUUGCAAAGCUAUUCCCUCCCCUUCCUCCUUCUCUGGUUGACCCCAUAAUUUGGGACACCUCCAAUCCCACUCUUGCUACCCAUGCUACACCCAUUUAAACCCAUCUCAGGGAUCCUUCAAUUUUUCCCUACGUUCCCCAAUACCCCAUGGCUCCCCAACAUUUACAGGGACUUAAACCCAUAAUUAAGCACCUUUUGGACAAUGGUUUUCUUAAACCUACUCAUUCACCCCACAAUACUCCCAUUCUCCCGGUACUCAAGCCUGAUGGGUCCUAUCACCUGGUACAAGACCUUAGGGUAAUCAACAGUGCUGUUACCCCAACCCACCCAGUGGUGCCAAAUGCCUGUACCAUGCUCUCUCAUAUCCCUCCCUCCACCACUCACUUUAUAGUUAUAGAUCUUAAAGAUGCCUUCUUUACUAUCCCCCCACACCUGAUUGUCAGAACCUCUUUGCAUUUACACAGAUUGACCCAGACACUCUCAGGUCUCAACAACUUACUUGGACAGUGCUCUCCCAAGGGUUCAGAGAUAGUCCCCACUUCUUUAGUCAAGCUCUCACUACUGACCUCACAGAAUUUGAUCUCAAACCUAGUGUCCUUCUUCAAUACAUAGAUGACCUUCUGUUAUGGUCCCCAUCCCACAUGUUAGCCAUACACCAUUCAGCCAAUCUUCUUAAUUUCCUUGCUAGUCGUGGAUACAGGGUCUCUCCUGCUAAAGCCCAGAUAGCCUCCCCAAAAGUCAAAUACCUAGGUCUUGCUCUCACCCCCACCACUCGUUCCAUCACUACAGAUUGUAAGGCCAUUCUUUGAGAUCUCCAGGUGCUCACAACUAAACAACAGGUUACAUCUUUAUUAGGUUUAGCUAAUUUCUUUCUUCUCUGGAUUCCUAACUUUGCAGCCCUAGCUCUUCCCCUCUACAAGGCUGCUAAGUGUCCCUUAUCAGAACCCCUGGAUCCUACUAGGCCCAUACAUGCCUCCUUUCAUAAAUUAAAAGAGGCUCUCCUAAAAGCCCCAGCUCUUACCCUUCCUGAUCCCACCCAACCUUUCCCCCUGUACACUACUUCUCAGGGCCACAAUGCUAUAGGUGUAC